GCACCAUUAGCACUUGAAGAAACUCUCAAAGGUCUGUUUCUCUUGUUACUAUUACAUACCAAAAUAGGUUGUUUCUGCAAUGAUGCAACACAUCCAUGCUGCAGACCUCUCCAUAGCUGAUGGUGAAGCUCUGGCUGGUGGAAGAAGUUCGUCGGUUGCUGAAUUAGAAUGGUGGAAGAAACCAUUCUUGAGAGUGAGCUAAAAAUUUAGUGGAAUUUCAGUAAAGAAGAUUCAUACAUCGAUGGAAUUUGGGUUCUUGAAACGUUAUCCACUCUACUGUCAGU
rnacentral:misc_RNA from 1 species